CUUUAAAGUUGUCACUUUAGUUAUUAGUUUUUAAGUCUGGCUAUAUAUAUAUGUGUGUGUGUGUGUGUGUGUGUGUGUAUUCUGCAAGCAAAAGUGUUCAAAAACAUGGGGGGGUGCUAGGAUAAAGAUAAAUUGAGUAUUUGGCUGGUCAUGGGAUCUCAGCAUGAUCUCAACAAUUUUGACAACGAUAAGGCUGUCUUUGGAUUCCGGAAUUUCCUGAGUGUUGUGAUAUCAAUUGUGCUGCUCUUUGUAUUCUUCAAAUUCUACCUUCACAAAAGAAAGCGUGAUGGAGAAGAUGGAGAAGAUGCAGAUUGUGUGUAUGUGAAUGUUCCUAUGCAUGUACACAGAAUGGAGACAAAACAACAGACCAGGGGUUGAAUAUGAAUGGCUGCAGUUUUAUGGACAAAUACUGUGUUAAAAUUAAAACCAGUAUACCACUACGAAGUAAGUAUAGUACGUACGUCGACU
rnacentral:lncRNA from 1 species